AGAACGAACGCUGGCGGCAUGCCUAAUACAUGCAAGUCGAACGAACACUUCGGUGUUAGUGGCGCACGGGUGCGUAACGCGUGGGAAUCUGCCCUUGGGUUCGGAAUAACAGUUGGAAACGACUGCUAAUACCGGAUGAUAUCGAAAGAUCAAAGAUUUAUCGCCCAGGGAUGAGCCCGCGUAGGAUUAGCUAGUUGGUGAGGUAAAGCUCACCAAGGCGACGAUCCGUUAGCUGGUCUGAGAGGAUGAUCAGCCACACGUGGGACUGACGACACGGACCCAGACCUCCGUACGGGAGCAGCAAGGUAGGGAAUAGUUGGACAAGUGGGACGCAAGCCUGAUCCCGAGACUAAGUGCCCG
rnacentral:rRNA from 1 species